CUCAGGGGGAUGGGCAGGGUGUCCUGAACAAAGCUUCCUUUUCUCUUCUGGACAGAAAAAUGAGGAGCGGAAGCCAGGAUGAGGAGAAGACCCUGGUUUGGGGGAAGGGGGGUGAUUGUGACUAAGCAGGUAGCACUGAUGGUGUUUGGGGUCACAGGUUGCGAAGAAAGAGCAGUGAUGAUCCAAGGACCGUGGAGCUCUGAUGUGGAAAAACCUCACUGCGCAUGAAGGUCCCUGACAGGAAGAAGGGUCACUCACAAGCUUUUCCUUACCGAGUCCAAAUAAUUUAAUAUUUGUACAGCGCUCUUCUACAAUAAAGUUGAGCCCACCCGACCCAAAUACGAAUAAAAUAUUAACCCUUGUCUCUAGCAGCUGAUAUAACCAGACGACCCUUUCUCUCUUACUACGGAGGUCCCGAGCUGCACCAGAACCUGAGAAUUUGUCCAGGUCAAAGGUGUCCUUUCCUUGCCACACACACCCGGAGACAGAAGGUGCCCUUAAGCACGCAACCGUCCCCCUCCUUCACUCAACGGAGCCUGCCCAUCGCUAGACAGAACCUGCAUUUCCUUCCAACUCUUCUUCCUCUUUCACUUUCUCCCAAAACCGGAAUAGCGACACAGAGCUUUGUGCCUAGCAGGAGAACUCAGUUUCAAGCACCUCCACCACAGAGGCCGAACUCUUCCCUAACUCAGAUGCAGCCGGUGGUAUGGCAGGCAUGAAAAGUGUCACGCUUUUGGUGGGGUUUCUGGAAAUAAAGGACCACAUUUCUCACCAGGAAAAGCUGCGGCUGGGAAGAGUUUAUGCCCGUUGUCUCCGGUAUCAGAGCAUGUGUUGCAUAGACAAUGGGCAGGCUAGGAAUGUUGGCUUGUAAAAAAGGGAAAAGCAGCGCUUACUGCAAGCAAGGAAGGAAACCGAGCCAAGUUGACCCCCCUCCCCAGCUAAUAAACUGCUGGUGGGUUAUGGGAUUUAUGUCAAGGGUUGCCGCCAGGUGCCCGAGUGCAGAACCGUAAGUGGAGGUGGCGGCUGGGGAGUUGGCAGCCACGAGGAGCACGACGAGCAGAAUGAAGUACAAGGAAGCAGAGAUUUGGCAAGCCCAAAGUGGCCUACAAACAUGUAACAAAGAGCAAGUUGUACUGUGUACCUCUCCAGAGAAUAAAGGCAAGGGGAAGGAUAUGGGAGCGAAAGAGAUUGCGCCCUGCCUGCUACCUGAAUAAACGAAAGCGUGGGAAUCCUGUUCUCAGCUGCUUUGCCUAACUUGGAGGAAACAGUGAAGAAAAGCUAAUAUUAACACCUACAAAUUAACUGAAGGGCCCUCCAUAGGCAACCUUGCAAAUGUGUGUAUCUGUAGCCAGUCCACAUAAAGCCUUUCAUAUCCAAGCAACAUAAGGAUGGCUGACUUGACUACCUCAGCUUGUUUUCGUGGCCAGCCUGUCUGGUGAAAGCCUUGUUCCACCACCUAUGCCCACAGUAGGACACACGUUUGCUCCCAUUUUUAGUUCUUGGGGGUGAUAGCUGCUGAUCACAUGCUCCUCCAUGAAUUUUCCUCCUUGUCUUGCUCACCUAGAAGCUGGCACACACUUUGGGUGGGAACUUUUGUCGAUCUAGACUUCGAAAGGCAGCCUGUUAUAAAAAAAACAACAACCCUGCCAUAUGGAGCUAUGAAAUUCCCUCUGGUCAGAUACUCUGCUUCAUGUUCUCUGAAGUAGUUCCUGUUCUCCAUAACUCUGUAUUUGGGAAGUGUGUGUGCACAUGCAUAUUGCAAAGAAAGAGGGUGGAAUAAUAGGUGGGGGGGGGGUCUGAAAAAUUAAAACAAACUUAAGCACCAGUCCAAACUCAAUCACCUUGUGCUAGCGACAGACAAGGGCUUUUCCCUAUCAAAGAAACUGAAGGUCAGCCUUCUCCUCAUUGAUCUUGCAAUGUUUGUUAAUUACUCUGUCACUGAUGUGGCGAAGGAUAAUUAAACAGCUCUGUUUAUAUCU